AUUGAACGCUGGCGGCAGGCCUAACACAUGCAAGUCGAGCGGAUGAGAAGAGCUUGCUCUUCGAUUCAGCGGCGGACGGGUGAGUAAUGCCUAGGAAUCUGCCUGGUAGUGGGGGACAACGUUUCGAAAGGAACGCUAAUACCGCAUACGUCCUACGGGAGAAAGCAGGGGACCUUCGGGCCUUGCGCUAUCAGAUGAGCCUAGGUCGGAUUAGCUAGUUGGUGGGGUAAUGGCUCACCAAGGCGACGAUCCGUAACUGGUCUGAGAGGAUGAUCAGUCAAACUGGAACUGAGACACGGUCCAGACUCCUACGGGAGGCAGCAGUGGGGAAUAUUGGACAAUGGGCGAAAGCCUGAUCCAGCCAUGCCGCGUGUGUGAAGAAGGUCUUCGGAUUGUAAAGCACUUUAAGUUGGGAGGAAGGGCAGUAAGUUAAUACCUUGCUGUUUUGACGUUACCGACAGAAUAAGCACCGGCUAACUCUGUGCCAGCCGCCGCUGUAAUAC
rnacentral:rRNA from 1 species